CACCUGCUUCUGGGCCAGAGACAUCAUGUGCUUUUCAUUACCAUCAUUAGUCAUUGUCAGUACAUCUUGUUACAAGAGCAAAGCAUAAAAGAUCAAGACUGCUGGCCCCCCUGUAAUAAUGUAGUGUAUACUGAAGACUUUUAUGUAUUUUGCAUAGGUAUAGGACUGAGUGAAAUGCUUAGACAGUAUCUGAGAUGUUAGUUAUUUUUAGCUGUCCUAGUGUAGUUAUUUAGAAUUAAAACUUUCUUGUUGCUGUCACUGUGGUAAGUCUUUGUAGGAAGGCACGUAGUACCCUCAGCAGUGAGCUCCUCUCCUUCUGACCUGGUAGUGUAUCCCUGUGCAGUUUCCUGCAGGAUCUGUAAUGUAAUCCUAUAGUACAAGUAGUGCUUCCUUGUGUAAAUACAAACCUGACAACUUUUGGAUGAACCUCUAGAUGAUAUCAUACUAUCACUAUAACAUAGCUCCUGCUACCAGUCCCUUGCACAGGUUGCUGGUGGAAGGAGUUAUACUCCUGAAAUCUGCUACCUUAUCAGUUUAUGUUGUAUUUCCUUCUACCCUCUCCUGUACCUAACUCUAGUGCUUCCUUUUUCAGUUCUGCUAUCCUGCAGCUGUUCUGCAUCCCCUGUGAAGGCAGAGAGGGGCUGACAGUCACCAUGUUCUCCCAUUUGGUGGGCUGCAGUCAGGAAAAAGUGGAGCCUGCUCUACCUAAUGACCUACAAAACCCUCCCCUGUUCAUGACAAAAUCUAAACCUGUGCUUCAGUACUUCUGGUUGCAUGGCCAAGGAAGGUCCUCUUGGAGCUGUUCUUUUCCAUGUGUUGUGACUGCAUCACCAACAACUCCUCUCAAGGUUCCAGAACUACACUCCUACAGAAAUGAUGUCCCUUGAGUGCAAGUCAGCCUCCCCAGAACCCUUGGCAGCUCUGCAGAAGCAUCAGAUCUUGUUACGUUACUUUGGCAGUACAGAGGUCUCAAGCCCUUUCAGAAGGGCAAUGAGGGCCUACUGGAUACUAAAGGUGUCUAUCAUCAGAGGAAAGCAGAAGUGACUUUAUACCUAGAAUGUGCAGAGAUCAAACAAGAUGAGUGUUGCAGUAAAACAAUAAAGGCAUGUGUGUGCUUGUGUGUGAAUUCA
rnacentral:lncRNA from 1 species